GACGUAGGGGACGAGCGUUGUCCGGAUUCAUUGGGCGUAAAGCGCGCGUAGGCGGUUCGGUAAGUCGGGUGUGAAAACACGAGGCUCAACCUCGUGCGUGCAUCCGAUACUGCCGGACUAGAGGUAGGUAGGGGAGAUCGGAAUUCCUGGUGUAGCGGUGAAAUGCGCAGAUAUCAGGAGGAAUACCGGUGGCGAAGGCGGCAUCCUGGACCAACACUGACACUGAGGAGCGAAAGCCAGGGGAGCAAACGGG
rnacentral:rRNA from 1 species